rnacentral:misc_RNA from 1 species
AGUUCAUUCAAUGUUUGCGAGACAGCAUUGAUAUGUAGAUAGAUCAUAAGAUGUCUUACAAAUUUAUUAUUUUCCAUGUAAUCCAAUGAAAAGAAAAGAAUUAGACAGGAAUAUGAUGACAGAUUACAUUUGCCAAAUUUCUUAAAAGAAAUACAUAUUAUCAUUGAAACAAAACUCAUCCAUGAUAUGCCCCAAAAUGUGGCAAAGUUGAAGGUCUCAAACCUUACUAAUGCCAACCAUGGAAGGUCCAGAUUAAUGGCCAGAUCAUGGCUACGCAUGCCAUUCUCGAUGAAUGAGUAAUAAAAUCAAUAGAUGUGAUGACCACCUAAUUACCAAACCAGUAAAGAGAUAGAUGACCAAUUUUUGAAAAAUUCCAAGAAAUG